GGUGCCUGAGAGCUGGCCGAUCUGGUCACUCUCUCCAGUGGGCCACAGGGGCCCACUUGGUGGGCAGUCUCUGCUGCCAGCUAGGGCAUCUCAGCUCAGCCCAGAGCAAAGACGUGUAGGGACAUAACGCUUUCCUCAAGCUUCCUUUCCCAGGUCCAAACUUAGAGGCCCAGUUUUGGGCCUAGAAUUCACUGAGGUUUGUGGCUGUUUGUCCAACAGUCACCAUGGAUCACCGAAGCCGACUACGGGGCACAGGCCUGAACCGAAUCCCUGGGACUCAGUCCCGAGCCCCCCGAGUCCCACUCCCCUUCCACGUGCAACAGGAGGCCAGGGAAGGAGAAGACUGGGAGCGAGAGCCACCUCGUCAGAGGCCUCCUAUCUAUGAGCCACCAGAAAGUGAAGAGCUGCCAGAUAAUGUUAUGGUUUCCAAGCCAGCGCCCUACUGGGAAGGAACAGCUGUGAUCGAUGGAGAAUUUAAGGAGCUGAAGUUAACUGAUUAUCGUGGGAAAUACUUGGUUUUCUUCUUCUACCCACUUGAUUUCACAUUUGUGUGUCCAACUGAAAUUAUCGCUUUUGGCGACAGACUUGAAGAAUUCAGAUCUAUAAAUACUGAAGUGGUAGCAUGCUCUGUUGAUUCACAGUUUACCCAUUUGGCCUGGAUUAAUACCCCUCGAAGACAAGGAGGACUUGGGCCAAUAAGGAUUCCACUUCUUUCAGAUUUGACCCAUCAGAUCUCAAAGGACUAUGGUGUAUACCUAGAGGACUCAGGCCACACUCUUAGAGGUCUCUUCAUUAUUGAUGACAAAGGAAUCCUAAGACAAAUUACUCUGAAUGAUCUUCCUGUGGGUAGAUCAGUGGAUGAGACACUACGUUUGGUUCAAGCAUUCCAGUACACUGACAAACACGGAGAAGUCUGCCCUGCUGGCUGGAAACCUGGUAGUGAAACAAUAAUCCCAGAUCCAGCUGGAAAGCUGAAGUAUUUCGAUAAACUGAAUUGAGAAAUACUUCUUCAAGUUAUGAUGCUUGAAAGUUCUCAAUAAAGUUCACGGUUUCA
rnacentral:lncRNA from 1 species